CCUACGGGAGGCAGCAGUGAGGAAUAUUGGUCAAUGGUCGGGAGACUGAACCAGCCAAGCCGCGUGAGGGAUGAAGGUACAGAGUAUCGUAAACCUCUUUUGUCAGGGAACAAAGGCGGGGACGUGUCCCCGGAUGAGUGUACCUGAAGAAAAAGCAUCGGCUAACUCCGUGCCAGCAGCCGCGGUAAUACGGAGUAUGCGAGCGUUGUCCGGAUUUAUUGGGUUUAAAGGUUGCGCAGGCGGUCUGUUAAGUCAGCGGUCAAAGCCCGGGGCCCAACCCCGGCCCGCCGUUGAAACUGGCAGUCUAGAGUUGGAGAGAGGUAUGCGGAAUGCGCGGUGUAGCGGUGAAAUGCAUAGAGAUCGCGCAGAACUCCGAUUGCGAAGGCAGCAUGCCGGCUCCACACUGACGCUGAGGCACGAAAGCGUGGGGAUCGAACAGGAUUAGAUACCCUUGUAGUC
rnacentral:rRNA from 1 species